AUUGAACGCUGGCGGCAGGCCUAACACAUGCAAGUCGAACGGUAACAGGGAUCAGCUUGCUGAUUCGCUGACGAGUGGCGGACGGGUGAGUAAUGUCUGGGAAACUGCCUGAUGGAGGGGGAUAACUACUGGAAACGGUAGCUAAUACCGCAUAACGUCGCAAGACCAAAGAGGGGGACCUUCGGGCCUCUUGCCAUCGGAUGUGCCCAGAUGGGAUUAGCUAGUAGGUGGGGUAACGGCUCACCUAGGCGACGAUCCCUAGCUGGUCUGAGAGGAUGACCAGCCACACUGGAACUGAGACACGGUCCAGACUCCUACGGGAGGCAGCAGUGGGGAAUAUUGCACAAUGGGCGCAAGCCUGAUGCAGCCAUGCCGCGUGUAUGAAGAAGGCCUUCGGGUUGUAAAGUACUUUCAGCGGGGAGGAAGGGAGUAAAGUUAAUACCUUUGCUCAUUGACGUUACCCACAGAAGAAGCACCGGCUAACUCCGUG
rnacentral:rRNA from 1 species